rnacentral:rRNA from 1 species
AUUGAACGCUGGCGGCAGGCUUAACACAUGCAAGUCGAACGGAGUGGGGACGGGUGAGUAACACGUGGGUAACCUCCCAUCAGAGGGGAUAACACUUGGAAACAGGUGCUAAACCGAUACUGAUGGAUGGACCCGCGGUGCAUUAGCUAGUUGGUGAGGUAACGGCUCACCAAGGCCACGAUGCAUAGCCGACCUGAGAGGGUGAUCAGCCACACUGGGACUGAGACACGGCCCAGACUCCUACGGGAGGCAGCAGUAGGGAAUCUUGGGCAAUGGACGAAAGUCUGACCGAGCAACGCCGCGUGAAUGAAGAAGGUUUUCGGAUCGUAAAACACUGUUAUUAGAGAAGCGGUAUCUACACAGAAAGCCACGGCUAACUACGUGCCAGCAGCCGCGGUAAUUC